rnacentral:rRNA from 1 species
UACGUAGGGUGCAAGCGUUAAUCGGAAUUACUGGGCGUAAAGCGUGCGCAGGCGGUUUUGUAAGUCUGUCGUGAAAUCCCCGGGCUCAACCUGGGAAUUGCGAUGGAGACUGCAAGGCUAGAAUCUGGCAGAGGGGGGUAGAAUUCCACGUGUAGCAGUGAAAUGCGUAGAGAUGUGGAGGAACACCCAGGGGGAAACCAGCCGACUGGGCAUCUACUGACGCUGAGGUGCGAGAGCGUGGGGAGCGAACCGG